AUUGAGCGCUGGCGGCACGCCUAACACAUGCAAGUCGAGCGGCAGCGAGACUAGUAGCAAUACUAGUUGUCGGCGAGCGGCGGACGGGUGAGUAACACGUAGGAAUCUGCCCUUAAGCGGGGGAUAACCAAGGGAAACUUUGGCUAAUACCGCAUAAUCUCGAGAGAGCAAAGCUGCCCGCAAGGGUGGCACUUGAGGAGGAGCCUGCGUCCGAUUAGCUAGUUGGUGGGGUAAUGGCCUACCAAGGCGAUGAUCGGUAACUGGUCUGAGAGGACGACCAGUCACACUGGGACUGAGACACGGCCCAGACUCCUACGGGAGGAAGCAGUGGGGAAUAUUGGACAAUGGGGGCAACCCUGAUCCAGCGAUGCCGCGUGAGUGAAGAAGGCCUUCGGGUCGUAAAGCUCUUUAGGUUGGGAAGAAGGGUAUUGGCUGAAUAAUCCAGUACUUUGACGGUACCGACAGAAUAAGCACCGGCAAACUCUGUGCCAGCCGCCGCCGUAAUAC
rnacentral:rRNA from 1 species